rnacentral:rRNA from 1 species
CCCUUAGAUGUUCUGGGCCGCACGCGCGCUACACUGACGGAGCCAACGAGUCUUUUCCUUGUCCGGAAGGACUGGGUAAUCUUGUGAAACUUCGUCGUGCUGGGGAUAGAGCAUUGCAAUUAUUGCUCUUCAACGAGGAAUUCCUAGUAAGCACGGGUCAUAAGCUCGUACUGAUUACGUCCCUGCCCUUUGUACACACCGCCCGUCGCUACUACCGACUGGUAAGAUAUCUAAGGAGCAUGGACGUCGGCAGACGCGGUUCGCGCCGUGUCUGCGGGCAGAAGCGCCCCGCAGAUUUCUUGCUGGAGGAAGUAAAAGUCGUANCA